GGGCGGGGCAGCAAAGCACAGCAGAGGCCAGGGGCAGAGGACUGCGGCUUAUCUGCGGCAGCUGAGACCCUGAGUUGUUAGUUGGAGAACCUGGUUGGCUGAUAAGCACUGGCACCUCCUGAUUGUGCAGUGCCCAGAGGCUGCAUGAAUGUGAGACAGGAUCCAUCCCAACACUAACCAGCUCCAUUGUUUGAGCCUCAUUGAUUUUGCUCAUGUCACCAGGCACAGAAGAUGAUCCUGAACCACCUCAAGAGCAACCUCUAGCUCUCAUUGUGGUGCCUGCGGCAGCUUCAGAGCUUGACUGGCAUGGGUGGGAAUAAGUUGUGCAGGUGAUAUGACUGUGGAUACAGCAGAGGGGAGACACCUACCUGAAGGAGCCUACCGCAAAGUUUUUAGUGACAAUGAAGUUCUUGAUUGAAACACUUAGGAGUCGACUACUAUGGGGGACAUUUAUGGCUUAAAAGUGUUCAAAAAUAAUGAAUACUGUUUUUCUGAAAAUAAAUAAAUUGGAAAAAAAAAAGUGUUCAA